rnacentral:rRNA from 1 species
GUGGGGAAUAUUGCACAAUGGGCGAAAGCCUGAUGCAGCGACGCCGCGUGAGGGAUGACGGCCUUCGGGUUGUAAACCUCUUUCAGCAGGGACGAAGCGAAAGUGACGGUACCUGCAGAAGAAGCACCGGCCAACUACGUGCCAGCAGCCGCGGUAAUACGUAGGGUGCGAGCGUUGUCCGGAAUUACUGGGCGUAAAGAGCUCGUAGGCGGUUUGUCGCGUCGUCUGUGAAAACCCGCAGCUCAACUGCGGGCUUGCAGGCGAUACGGGCAGACUUGAGUACUGCAGGGGAGACUGGAAUUCCUGGUGUAGCGGUGAAAUGCGCAGAUAUCAGGAGGAACACCGGUGGCGAAGGCGGGUCUCUGGGCAGUAACUGACGCUGAGGAGCGAAAGCGUGGGUAGCGAACAGGAUUAGAUACCCUGGUAGUCCACGCCGUAAACGGUGGGCGCUAGGUGUGGGUUUCCUUCCACGGGAUCCGUGCCGUAGCUAACGCAUUAAGCGCCCCGCCUGGGGAGUACGGCCGCAAGGCUAAAACUCAAAGGAAUUGACGGGG